UCAGAGAUGAAUUAGUGCUUUCGGGAACUCCGUGACAGGUGCUGCACGGCUGUCGUCAGCUCGUGUCGUGAGAUGUUGGGUUAGUCCCGCAACGAGCGCAACCCCUAUCCUUGGUUGCUAACAGGUUAAGCUGAGAACUCCAAGGAGACUGCCGGUGACAAACCGGAGGAAGGUGGGGACGACGUCAAGUCAUCAUGGCCCUUAUGGGAUGGGCUACACACGUGCUACAAUGGUCGGUAUAGAGGGUUGGUACUCGCGAGAGUAAGCUAAUCCCAGAAAGCCGGUCGUAGUCCGGAUUGGAGUCUGCAACUCGACUCCAUGAAGUUGGAAUCGCUAGUAAUCGUGGAUCAGCAUGCCACGGUGAAUACGUUCCCGGGCCUUGUACACACCCGCCCGUCACACCAUGGGGGAGUGGGCUGCACAAAGAAGUGGGUAGACAAACUUCGGGUAAGUCGCUUCAUCCCACUUUUGUGGUUUCAUGACUAGGGGGUGAAAGUCGUAACAAGGUGACCAAGGGCGUCAUUCGAUUUA
rnacentral:rRNA from 1 species